rnacentral:lncRNA from 1 species
AAAUCCCCACUGCCAGCCAAGGAAAUGGUUGAAGACCAAGGAGGGUUUAGAGUUCUAUGGCAGGUUUUGAUCACUUGGAUGGCGGCAGAAACAUGCUGAGACUGAGUUGGCUAUUGUAGAUCUCGUUAACUGUUUAUAUGAUGAUAUUAUUAUUACUGCCAUGUCCACCUACCAGGGCCACCUUCUCUUCAAAGAAUCCUCUACCACAGCCAGCUGUGGCUUUGGCUCUAACCUCAGCAGGGAACCUCAGUGACUUCUGGUCCUCUUCUGCUUAGCUAGAGGCAGAUCUAGCAGCAAAUGAUGUCUCUGCCUUAGCCUCCAUGUCCGCACACUGGGAUGAUGGUGCAAAGGUAAUCUGGGGAAAAACAAGGCCAUCCUGAGAAGAAAAGCAAGAGUGAGCAUCUGCCCCAGCCCUGGGGGCAGUUUCCCCUGCCCUCUCAUGCACCUUGAAACAUCUUUGGUGUGUUUGCCCUGUGCUGAGGCCUUUGCAAUGAGAGCGGCAUCUCUCUGGUUCCUGGAUAGCUCACUCUGGAGUGCUGCAUCCCUGUAUGUCGAGAGAAGGAUAGAGCUAGGAUUUCACAAAGGGCCUCAGAAACCAAACUUCAAAUGGACAUCAUGGCUUCCUAAUUGCUUUCUUCGCUGCUACCCACAGAGCUGUUUCUGGCACCUGAAUAACUGGCUUCCACCAGAUACUCCAUUGGAAGGUAUUAAAGAUUUUCCACUUAAAGUUUUCUCAAAGCUGUGA